UGGUGCCUACGGGGCGCAGCAGUGAGGAAUAUUGGUCAAUGGGCGAGAGCCUGAACCAGCCAAGUCGCGUGAAGGAUGACGGCCCUACGGGUUGUAAACUUCUUUUGUCAGGGAGCAAUUGAGUCCACGUGUGGGCUUAGCGAGAGUACCUGAAGAAAAAGCAUCGGCUAACUCCGUGCCAGCAGCCGCGGUAAUACGGAGGAUGCGAGCGUUAUCCGGAUUUAUUGGGUUUAAAGGGUGCGCAGGCGGUCUGUUAAGUCAGCGGUCAAAGCCCGGGGCCCAACCCCGGCCCGCCGUUGAAACUG
rnacentral:rRNA from 1 species